rnacentral:rRNA from 1 species
AAUCAACGCUGGCGGCGUGCCUAACACAUGCAAGUCGAACGGGAAAACGGGGGCAACUCCGUGAGUAUAGUGGCGUACGGGUGAGUAACACGUGACUACCUACCUUUGAGUGGGGGAUAACCCCGGGAAACCGGGGCUAAUACCGCAUAACAUCGCAAGAUCAAAGAAGCAAUUCGCUUAAAGAGGGGGUCGCGGCUGAU